rnacentral:rRNA from 1 species
UACGAAGGGUGCAAACGUUGCUCGGAAUUAUUGGGCGUAAAGCGCACGUAGGCGGCGCGGCAAGUCAGGGGUGAAAUCCCGGGGCUCAACCCCGGAACUGCCCUUGAAACUGCAGUGCUAGAAUCUUGGAGAGGCGAGUGGAAUUCCGAGUGUAGAGGUGAAAUUCGUAGAUAUUCGGAAGAACACCAGUGGCGAAGGCGACUCGCUGGACAAGUAUUGACGCUGAGGUGCGAAAGCGUGGGGAGCAAACAGG